AUUUAGUUUAUUGAAUUAAUUAUGAUCACUAGUAUAUUUAUGUAUUGUCACUGGGAAAUGUAAAUUGAUAAGUUAAUGUAUCGCAAUUUAAAGGAAAAACAACACAAUUUGAAGCAAAUAUAGAUAAACAUACACAUGACAAAGUGUAAAUGUUGUGUACAGUGAAUUGUUGGGGUUGUGUUUUAUGAUUAUUGUCAUCUUUAUUGUUAUUUAUUGAUAUUUCUGGUUAUUACUGAACAGAUUUCUUUCCCUCAUAUUUUAAUGUUGAAGGUUAAACUCUUGCCCCAAGAGCAAAAGGGGUUAUCAUACUACCUGAUGUAUGGACUUUUAAACCAGGCUUUUACCCUGCAGAGCUGGCCAACUUGAGGGGAACUGAAGUGGGCAAACCUCGCCCUGUCCUUGAACAAGAAAGCUGGAUUUGUUGAGAGAGUAUCAUUAAAGCUGAAAUCCAGCAUGAAACCAGGGAGGUGAAGGCCAUCGCACAGGCCAUGUGCCAACUAUUCACUCCCCACCAGCUUGUGACUUGCUCCAUGAAGGGAGCAACAACUACAACGGGGUCACCAAGACCAAGCCUCCCUGCUGCUGAGAGAAAUGCAAUCAUUGAUGUCAUAGCCAAAACCUUUGACAAGCCUCUGGUGGAUGUUAAAGAAAAGAUGAGAGGUUGUUUAAGGCGUCUGCGGCUGAUGCACAAGUAGACUGAAGUCUUUGUAAAUAAAAUGUGCUGUUAAAAUGAUUAUUUAACCAUUGUUUUCACUUUGUUAUAUAGAUUUGCACCUGUUGCAACAUCAUUAACUUAUUUUUGUGCUCCCGAUAGGGUCUCAUAUAGCAGUUGAACUGUCCGUCUGUCUGUCUAUCCGUCCGAAAACUUUAGCAUUGGUCAUAACUUUUGCAAUAUUGAAGAAAGCAACUUGAUAUUUAGCAUGCAUGUGUAUCUCAUUGAGCUGCACAUUUUGAGUGGUGCAAGGUCAAGGUCAUCCUUCAAGGUCAGAGGUCAAUAUCCAAUGGAAGUAAU